AACUCCUUCAUUGCGUUAUACAGCAUCCACACGUUUCCUUGGGGAGAAAAGAGCAAUUGUACUUUGCUUCUUUGGCAUGAAACGGAGAGAAAUAGGGAGGAUUUUUCUUUGCUUUGUUUUAACUAAAACAUUAUUUUCUGUGCCAAGAUAGAGUGAAACUGCUGAAUUAGCCAAGGCUGUAAAUUGAACCGGUCCUUUUACCUCUAGAAAAUAUUAAAGCAUCCUUCUGCCACUGAGCUGGCACCCGUUGCUGGAUCAAGUGCUGCUAUUAAUGGGAAAUCGGGAAAGUACAUUAUCACUCCAGUGCUGUCAUUACCAGAGGGUUUCACUGAACUAUAGCAUUCAGGAAAGUGAGACUGUGAAGAGUGAAGAAAAAUGGAGCAGGGGGAAGAAAGCUUCAGACAAAAAAAAAAACAACAAAACUUGAAGUUACAUUAAGAGUUGGUGAAGGUACCCAGCAUGGGAGGCGGGUAUCGAUUUCAAAGACACUUUCAUCAGAAGAGAUUUGUCAGCCGUCGGAUGGAAUUUCUGGUCGCGACCAGGAGGAGAUGGCAAGGUUGGAGUAUCAGGUAGCGCCACCGGCGGGGAACUCACCAGGAAUGUGGAAAAUCAAGGUUCAGGCCUAGGGACUUGAACGUGCCCUUUCUGAUGACUGGAAGAAAGAAUUUUGGAAACUACCAUAGUUAUCACUUUGCUGCUUCUAUUUCCCAAAUCCUGCUGCUGAUGAGACAGACAUCUCUGCUCUAAUAUGGCCAGUGCUAACUCUGGAAAGUAUGUUUGCCGCUUACGGUAUGUUCAGCAUAUCCUUAGCUUGGCUAUAGUCCUGUGGUUAUAGUGGAGAAUCGAAGAAUAAAUACUGCUGUGCAAGAUGAAGAGGUGCUGCAGAAAAUUUUUGCAGGCUUUGUUAGGCAUUUAGAUGUGUGUAAGUAGGUUGCUGGGUUCUCUGUGGCCAUAAGAGUUAGGGAGAGGUUCAUGUCUGGCAGUUCAGUGUCAUUACAUUCUUAGCUGCUGAGCUUGAUAUCUUCUAGUGAAUAAAACCACAUCCGCUGCAUAAUGCAUCAAGUCUCAAAAUGCCCAGGGCAUGAGACUUCAAGGAUGUUUAAUGUGAAGUUUUAUAGUGUGUUUAGCUAGAUUUUCAUUCAUUAACAAACUAAACUGCUGCAGUUUGGUGCCAUUUCAUUGCUUCCUGCAAGUGAGAAGAACUCUGAGGUUACCACUGCUAUUCAUCUGGCUUUGUGGCAUUGAUAGGACCCAGGAAGGGCCUUCUGAGUGUGCUGCAGCUACAUAUUGCUCCAUUUUCUUGCAUGAGUUGAAAACUAAUCUUUGCUUUGACCAGAAUUCCAGGGAGGAGGCAAAGUAAGCGAUUCUGGACUUGGUAGGUCUUUCUUCUUAAUUCUAUGUAAAUGUAGCAAACAUAGCUUUUUAAAGCGCUUCACUGUAGGGAAUUUUUUUUCAUUGCUUUCAAAUAGACACUAAAGAAAGGGCUUGCAGGGGAAUAGAGAUGUGGCAUCACUUAUGUAUAUAAGUGAUAUACACUCGGAGUAUGUGGAUGGUAACUUUCCUCUCAAAGUUGAGAACGCUCAUCUCCCCACAAGUGCCAAGUGAAAUGCAAAGCAGCUCUCUUCUGGGCCAUGCUUUUCUGGAAGUGCAGGGAAAGUGGUGACCUGAGCAUAGCCUGUCUUAGUCCAAGUAGAGCCCAUGGAGAAGCAGAUUGAGGAGGCUGAGCCUGUUAGAGGUGCUUUAUGGCAGUCAUCAAAUCAUAGAAUCAUAGAAUUGCCAAAGGAAAAAGUCUCCAAGAUCACCUACUACAACUGUCCAGGAUCUCUGCUUAUGUCAGGGUCUGUCCAUGGGGGAAAAAAAAAAUCAUUUCUUUGUGAAACUGAGUAAAAGCAGCCUGGGCUGUGCUACUAUCUCAAAUGAAAAUAGGCUAAAAAUCAACUUCUAGAAGAAAUAAAGUAAAAGGCGUAUGGCCACAGCACUGCAGAAGCUUAGUUUCUACUUACUGCUCUGAAGGAUGGCGUACUUAACAAAAGGAACAUGUCCAUGAUCAUCCAAGGCAUAUAAAACACAGAAAGGUGAUAUGAGGUUGAGAGUUUAUAUAGCCAGAAGCUUGUCACAAGUUGUAUAGGAUGUUGGUUUAUUACUAUGUCAAGUAUUUUGAUAUGUAGCUAUAUAAAGUGUCUACUUUUUCUACUGCCAAAUGUCUUUUGUUUUGUAAAUGUAAGGAAAGCGAUUGCAAAUAUCUAUGAGGUCAGAGCGUUUAUAUAGGCAGGUCUGCAGCUUACCUUAUUUAUAACUCUUUUACUUUUAUACUGAAAUAUGAAAUAGAUUCCUUACAGCCAGAAGGAAAAAAUAGAAAUGAAAAGCUUCUAGUUCAUUAGUUUUUCUUAGCAAAGUUGAGUAAGUGUAGUGUAAACACCAAAUGGGACUUCACUUUUUGUUUAUAGUUCUAAAUAGUAUACACGGUUUCAAGAAAAAUUUACGUGAAGAACACAGAUAAGUAAAUAAAUGGAGUGAGUAUGUGAUUAAUGAUUUUUAAAUAGUAAAUGCUUCCAAUCUGUAACAUUCUUGAAAUAGAUUGGCUGUGCAGGCCUUGUUUUUCUUCCUGCUUCACAGAGCUGUCUGUGUUUUGUUUAUUUGCUGUACAAAUUUAUAUUCAAUGCCUCAUUUUCUGUUUAAGCCACAGGAGAGUUUUGGUCAUUGGAAAGAUCAUUAAAUUGUAUUGAUAUAUGUUUAAUUAAAUCUUU
ensembl:lncRNA